GAUGAAGAACGCAGCGAAAUGCGAUACUUGGUGUGAAUUGCAGAAUCCCGUGAACCAUCGAGUCUUUGAACGCAAGUUGCGCCCGAAGCCAUUAGGCCGAGGGCACGCCUGCCUGGGCGUCACACGUCGUUGCCCCCCCAUCUACUCCUUCGGGAUUGCGGGGGGCGGAUGAUGGCCUCCCGUGCGCCUCGCCGCGCGGUUGGCAUAAAUGCCAAGUCCUCGGCGACGCACGCCACGACAAUCGGUGGUUGCGAAACCUCGGUUGCCCGUCGUGUGCGGUCGUCGCGCAUCGAGGGCUCGAAAAAAUUGCCGGGUUCCGGCUCGUCUUUCAACGCGACCCCAGGUCAGGCGGGGUUACCCGCUGAAUUUAAGCAUAUCAAUAAGAGGAGGA
rnacentral:misc_RNA from 1 species